rnacentral:misc_RNA from 1 species
GAUGAAGAACGCAGCGAAAUGCGAUAAGUAAUGUGAAUUGCAGAAUUCAGUGAAUCAUCGAAUCUUUGAACGCACAUUGCGCCCGCCAGUAUUCUGGCGGGCAUGCCUGUUCGAGCGUCAUUUCAACCAUCAAGCUCUGCUUGCGUUGGGGAUCCGCGGCUGCCCGCGGUCCCUCAAAACCAGUGGCGGGCUCGCUAGUCACACCGAGCGUAGUAACUUUACAUCGCUAUGGUCGUGCGGCGGGUGCUUGCCGUAAAACCCCCCAAUUUUUAAGGUUGACCUCGGAUCAGGUAGGAAUACCCGCUGAACUUAAGCAUAUCAUAAGCGGAGGA